CACUUCAUGAAUCUUGUGGGCAGUAGCUGGGCUCACAGCUUCUCCAGCUCCCAGAGAACUCUGCCUGCUGCUCUGCCAGGUCUGGGGCCAAGUGUGACACUCACUCCUUCAGGUCAUCAGCAGGGAAGACGAAGGCUCAGAGCGGCCAGUGCGGGUUCCAGUGAGAGACGGAUGCUGGGUCUACCUUGUUGCUUGCAAGCUUCAGUUGUACUAGCUCCCCCACUGCACAUCCAGCUUCUUGCCCAGCCACCUGUUCUGUGACUUCAGGUGAAGAAAAAACAACAGAGCCGGGACUGUGGUACCAGCUGCUGAAAUUAAUUGCUUAAGUAUUUUACUUUUCCCAGUGGAUUCCAGCAAUCGGAGUGAUUUAUUUCAAGAAAGUUGUGCUAGAUGUCUGUUGGUUAAUACUCGAUGACCUAUCUGGCCACUGUAGGACGUUUCAGGAGAGGAGGCGGCCGGAGUUGUGGAAGAGCCCUGGCUGGAAGUUUCCAAUCUUGAUCUUCGGUCUCUUGGACCUAUGAGGAACAAACAAAUAUGACAACAGUUUGCAUUUCCUAUGGCAAUCAUUUACAUCACACAA